rnacentral:rRNA from 1 species
AGAGUUUGAUCCUGGCUCAGGAUGAACGCUGGCGGCGUGCCUAAUACAUGCAAGUCGAGCGAACGGACGAGAAGCUUGCUUCUCUGAUGUUAGCGGCGGACGGGUGAGUAACACGUGGAUAACCUACCUAUAAGACUGGGAUAACUUCGGGAGACCGGAGCUAAUACCGGAUAAUAUUUUAAACCGCAUGGUUCAAAAGUGAAAGACGGUCUUGCUGUCACUUAUAGAUGGAUCCGCGCUGCAUUAGCUAGUUGGUAAGGUAACGGCUUACCAAGGCAACGAUGCAUAGCCGACCUGAGAGGGUGAUCGGCCACACUGGAACUGAGACACGGUCCAGACUCCUACGGGAGGCAGCAGUAGGGAAUCUUCCGCAAUGGGCGAAAGCCUGACGGAGCAACGCCGCGUGAGUGAUGAAGGUCUUCGGAUCGUAAAACUCUGUUAUUAGGGAAGAACAUAUGUGUAAGUAACUGUGCACAUCUUGACGGUACCUAAUCAGAAAGCCACGGCUAACUACGUGCCAGCAGCCGCGGUAAUACGUAGGUGGCAAGCGUUAUCCGGAAUUAUUGGGCGUAAAGCGCGCGUAGGCGGUUUUUUAAGUCUGAUGUGAAAGCCCACGGCUCAACCGUGGAGGGUCAUUGGAAACUGGAAAACUUGAGUGCAGAAGAGGAAAGUGGAAUUCCAUGUGUAGCGGUGAAAUGCGCAGAGAUAUGGAGGAACACCAGUGGCGAAGGCGACUUUCUGGUCUGUAACUGACGCUGAUGUGCGAAAGCGUGGGGAUCAAACAGGAUUAGAUACCCUGGUAGUCC